CCUACGGGAGACAGCAGUGGGGAAUAUUGGGCAAUGGGCGCAAGCCUGACCCAGCAAUGCCGCGUGAAGGAAGAAGGCUUUCGGGUUGUAAACUUCUUUGACAGGGGAAGAGCAGAAGACGGUACCCUGAAAACAAGCCACGGCUAACUACGUGCCAGCAGCCGCGGUAAUACGUAGGGGGCAAGCGUUGUCCGGAUUUACUGGGUGUAAAGGGCGUGUAGCCGGGAAGGCAAGUCAGAUGUGAAAUCUGGAGGCUCAACCUCCAAAUUGCAUUUGAAACUGUUUUUCUUGAGUACUGGAGAGGCAGACGGAAUUCCUUGUGUAGCGGUGAAAUGCGUAGAUAUAAGGAGGAACACCAGUGGCGAAGGCGGUCUGCUGGACAGCAACUGACGGUGAGGCGCGAAAGCGUGGGGAGCAAACAGGAUUAGAUACCCCGGUAGUC
rnacentral:rRNA from 1 species